AGAUGUAGCGCAGUUGGUAGCGCGCCUGCUUUGGGAGCAGGAUGCCGCAGGUUCGAGUCCUGUCAUCU
rnacentral:tRNA from 1 species